UUUUGGGCGCAACAAUACAGUACAGUGUAUAACAACCAUCCAAACAAGUUGUAAAUCCGAGUUAUCCCCAUCCAUGAUCCAUUCCAAUCUCCAAUUCUCCCAUUCUUUGCUUCUCUUCGAUCAUGUGCUUCUUCUCCUUCGAUCUGUGUGUGUGUGUGUGUGUGAUUUUGUUGAUUGUCCUAUACCACCAGUACCAAGCGCUAUCCAAAACAUGGGAGUUUUUUCGAUGUAAUUGUUUAUCUUUUGGACGGCUUACAUUAGUUUAGGGCGGUAUGUCAAUUAGGGUCCCAAUGUAUUUGUCGAAGACCACAACAAACGAAGCUGACAACUAUAUACCUUGGUUGGCCUUCAAGUCGAGGCAUCACAUUUCAUUAGUAUGUGAACAGUUAGUAAAUAGGUAUCUUGUAAACCUCUGGACAUCUUGUAAAACUUGAUUCUUUAGUGGAUAGUACCAAGAAGUAGUACACUUAUUGAAUCUUGGUAUGUUUGCAUUUUUGCUGGUGAUCUCUUGCUUUAGGAUUCUAAGGAUAUUUUUUUGAUUCAAUAUAUGCAAUGCAGUUAUGCCACACAGGGACUUGCUCAUUGUUGUGAAUGCAAAGGGGGACGAUGAUCUUAUGGUAAAUGUUCACAAGUCUAAGGAUCUUUAAAUCUGAUUUUGCCAAACUAGACAGGUAAGCGCGAGCAUGAGUGAGUAGGAGGUGAUAAGAGGUCCACUGUUGUUGACUUCUGAAUUAUUGAGAAGAAUAAAGGGCAACGAAUACAACUUGAAAUUUGUAUUAUGAAACAUUUUGUGAUUCUGUCAGAAUAUAGUGUUCUCAUUUUAAUUUUA